GCACUAGCGCGGUGGUCCCACGGUCCCACCUGACCCCAUGCCGAACUCAGAAGUGAAACGCCGUAGCGCCGAUGGUAGUGUGGGGUCUCCCCAUGUGAGAGUAGGGAACUGCCAGGC
rnacentral:rRNA from 1 species